rnacentral:lncRNA from 1 species
CCCCCUUUUACUUUCACACCCUACAUGUUCGCACCCAAUCUUAAUUGGUUUUGUGUUUAAUAACUCUGUAAGCAAGUGUUUUCUUAUAAGUAUAAUUGUAGUCAUUGUCUCAAAAAUAAAGUGUUGAAUAAAUCUUAAUCAUGUUUUGGAUAGGGUAUUGUUAAAAAUAAUAAUAAUCCUUUCUAAAUAAAGUGGUAUUUUGUCAACGUUUUAUUUUGUGUUGAAUAACUCUUAAUCAUGUUUUGGUUAGUGUAUUGCUAUAACUUUGUUUCAUUGACUUGUUUCAAAAUGAAGUGAGAUUCUGACUAUG